GACGAACGCUGGCGGCGUGCUUAACACAUGCAAGUCGAACGGAAAGGCCCUGCUUUUGUGGGGUUCUCGAGUGGCGAACGGGUGAGUAACACGUGAGUAACCUGCCCUUGACUUUGGGAUAACUUCAGGAAACUGGGGCUAAUACCGGAUAGGAGCUCCUGCUGCAUGGUGGGGGUUGGAAAGUUUCGGCGGUUGGGGAUGGACUCGCGGCUUAUCAGCUUGUUGGUGGGGUAGUGGCUUACCAAGGCUUUGAAGGGUAGCCGGCCUGAGAGGGUGACCGGGCACAUUGGGACUGAGAUACGGACCAGACGGCUACGGGAGGCAGCAGUGGGGAAUAUUGCACAGUGGGCGGAAGCCUGAGACGACAGCGCCCCGUGCGGAAUGACGGCCUUCGGGUUGUGAACCGCUGUAGCCUGUGACGAAGCGGGAGUGACGGUAAUGAGUAAAGAAGCACCGGCUAACUACGUG
rnacentral:rRNA from 1 species